GGUUAAGCGACUAAGCGUACACGGUGGAUGCCCUGGCAGUCAGAGGCGAUGAAGGACGUGCUAAUCUGCGAUAAGCGUCGGUGAGGUGAUAUGAACCGUUAUAACCGGCGAUUUCCGAAUGGGGAAACCCAGUGUGUUUCGACACACUAUCAUUAACUGAAUCCAUAGGUUAAUGAGGCGAACCGGGGGAACUGAAACAUCUAAGUACCCCGAGGAAAAGAAAUCAACCGAGAUUCCCCCAGUAGCGGCGAGCGAACGGGGAGGAGCCCAGAGCCUGAAUCAGUGUGUGUGUUAGUGGAAGCGUCUGGAAAGGCGCGCGAUACAGGGUGACAGCCCCGUACACAAAAAUGCACAUAUUGUGAGCUCGAUGAGUAGGGCGGGACACGUGGUAUCCUGUCUGAAUAUGGGGGGACCAUCCUCCAAGGCUAAAUACUCCUGACUGACCGAUAGUGAACCAGUACCGUGAGGGAAAGGCGAAAAGAACCCCGGCGAGGGGAGUGAAAAAGAACCUGAAACCGUGUACGUACAAGCAGUGGGAGCCUCUUUAUGGGGUGACUGCGUACCUUUUGUAUAAUGGGUCAGCGACUUAUAUUCUGUAGCAAGGUUAACCGAAUAGGGGAGCCGAAGGGAAACCGAGUCUUAACUGGGCGUUAAGUUGCAGGGUAUAGACCCGAAACCCGGUGAUCUAGCCAUGGGCAGGUUGAAGGUUGGGUAACACUAACUGGAGGACCGAACCGACUAAUGUUGAAAAAUUAGCGGAUGACUUGUGGCUGGGGGUGAAAGGCCAAUCAAACCGGGAGAUAGCUGGUUCUCCCCGAAAGCUAUUUAGGUAGCGCCUCGUGAAUUCAUCUCCGGGGGUAGAGCACUGUUUCGGCAAGGGGGUCAUCCCGACUUACCAACCCGAUGCAAACUGCGAAUACCGGAGAAUGUUAUCACGGGAGACACACGGCGGGUGCUAACGUCCGUCGUGAAGAGGGAAACAACCCAGACCGCCAGCUAAGGUCCCAAAGUCAUGGUUAAGUGGGAAACGAUGUGGGAAGGCCCAGACAGCCAGGAUGUUGGCUUAGAAGCAGCCAUCAUUUAAAGAAAGCGUAAUAGCUCACUGGUCGAGUCGGCCUGCGCGGAAGAUGUAACGGGGCUAAACCAUGCACCGAAGCUGCGGCAGCGACACUAUGUGUUGUUGGGUAGGGGAGCGUUCUGUAAGCCUGUGAAGGUGGCCUGUGAGGGUUGCUGGAGGUAUCAGAAGUGCGAAUGCUGACAUAAGUAACGAUAAAGCGGGUGAAAAGCCCGCUCGCCGGAAGACCAAGGGUUCCUGUCCAACGUUAAUCGGGGCAGGGUGAGUCGACCCCUAAGGCGAGGCCGAAAGGCGUAGUCGAUGGGAAACAGGUUAAUAUUCCUGUACUUGGUGUUACUGCGAAGGGGGGACGGAGAAGGCUAUGUUGGCCGGGCGACGGUUGUCCCGGUUUAAGCGUGUAGGCUGGUUUUCCAGGCAAAUCCGGAAAACCAAGGCUGA
rnacentral:rRNA from 1 species